rnacentral:rRNA from 1 species
CGACCGGCGCACGGGUGAGUAACGCGUAUCCAACCUGCCUUACACUCUUGGACAGCCUUCUGAAGGAGAUUAAUACAAGAUGUUAUCAUGAGUAAGCAUUUUCACAUGAUUAAAGGUUUACCGGUGUAAGAUGGGGAUGCGUUCCAUUAGAUAGUAGGCGGGGUAACGGCCCACCUAGUCUUCGAUGGAUAGGGGUUCUGAGAGGAAGGUCCCCCACAUUGGAACUGAGACACGGUCCAA